rnacentral:rRNA from 1 species
GACGAACACUGGCGGCGUGCUUAACACAUGCAAGUCGAACGGAAAGGCCCCUUUGGGGGUACUCGAGUGGCGAACGGGUGAGUAACACGUGAGUAACCUGCCCUUGACUUCGGGAUAACUUCAGGAAACUGGGGCUAAUACCGGAUAGGAAUCCUUGCUGCAUGGUGGGGGUUGGAAAGCUUCGGCGGUUUUGGAUGGACUCGCGGCUUAUCAGCUUGUUGGUGGGGUAGUGGCUUACCAAGGCUUUGACGGGUAGCCGGCCUGAGAGGGCGACCGGCCACAUUGGGACUGAGAUACGGCCCAGACUCCUACGGGAGGCAGCAGUGGGGAAUAUUGCACAAUGGGCGGGAGCCUGAUGCAGCAACGCCGCGUGCGGGAUGACGGCCUUCGGGUUGUAAACCGCUUUCAGCAGGGGCGAAGCUUGUGGUGACGGUACCUGCAGAAGAAGCACCGGCUAACUACGUG